UUGCAAUGAUGAUUCAGUAACUAUUGAGAGUGUCUGUGAAUGCUCGAUGGAAAUCCGGCAGUCAUGUCGAUCUGAGCGGUUAGCUGAGCAA